AGGCAUGCGUUCCAUUAGGCAGUUGGCGGGGUAACGGCCCACCAAACCGACGAUGGAUAGGGGUUCUGAGAGGAAGGUCCCCCACAUUGGUAAUGAGACACGGACCAAACUCCUACGGGAGGCAGCAGUGAGGAAUAUUGGUCAAUGGGCGUAAGCCUGAACCAGCCAAGUCGCGUGAGGGAUGAAGGUUCUAUGGAUCGUAAACCUCUUUUAUAAGGGAAUAAAGUGCGGGACGUGUCCCGUUUUGUAUGUACCUUAUGAAUAAGGAUCGGCUAACUCCGUGCCAGCAGCCGCGGUAAUACGGAGGAUCCGAGCGUUAUCCGGAUUUAUUGGGUUUAAAGGGUGCGUAGGCGGCCUUUUAAGUCAGCGGUGAAAGUCUGUGGCUCAACCAUAGAAUUGCCGUUGAAACUGGGGGGCUUGAGUAUGUUUGAGGCAGGCGGAAUGCGUGGUGUAGCGGUGAAAUGCUUAGAUAUCACGCAGAACCCCGAUUGCGAAGGCAGCCUGCCAAGCCAUGACUGACGCUGAUGCACGAAAGCGUGGGGAUCAAACAGGAUUAGAUACCCUGGUAGUCCACGCAGUAAACGAUGAUCACUAGCUGUUUGCGAUACAGUGUAAGCGGCACAGCGAAAGCGUUAAGUGAUCCACCUGGGGAGUAC
rnacentral:rRNA from 1 species